GACGGAAGUCAAUGGAUGAAAUUAGCCUCUGGGCCUUGGGGAAAGCAGACCUGUCAUCCUGCCUCUGACUGCCUGACCAGAAUCUCCACUUCUGAGCUGCGGAUGCACAAGACAAAAGGAAGUGAACCCAUGACUGGCCUCAGAUGCAGAUGCCUAACAACAAACAGCCCCAUCACCCCCGGUUGAGGAGAGGAGGGGGCUGUGGCUGCAGACAGACCUCAUAUGUCUCUAAUCUGCCACCUAUGGCCUGUGUGACCCU
rnacentral:lncRNA from 1 species